rnacentral:tRNA from 1 species
GGGGCUGUGGCUCAGUGGUAGGGCAACUGCUUGGCCCGCAGAAGGACCCAGGUUCAAUCCCUGGCAUCUCAA